GAUUAGGGCAGAAUAAGGGGAACCAGGAAGUGCUGGAUUGUAAGUAGAAUGAUCAGGGAAGACAUGACUGAAAUGAUGCUUUCUGGGUAAAGAUUGAAGGAUAUGAGGAGAGGGUCAUGUAGCUGUUUGAUCGAAGAGCAUUCUUGGCAGAGGAAAUGCCAGGCCAAAGUCUCUAUGGCAGGACUACACUAGGAGAGAUAAAAUGUUCUACAGGAAUCAAAGCUUGUCAUUCACUCAGGCCCUCACUUGGUGGCAGUAUGUUAGAGAAGACUGCUUGUUCCAGAGCCUGGUUCUCAGCUUUGCAAUCUACAGAUGGUUCAUUCUAGCCACGUGUGCAAGGAUGUGAUAUACUAGAGUGCACAUUGAUUACUUGAACUUCCUUGAAAUAUCAUUUUCAAGACAAGACUACUAAGGACUAAUCUUCAUCAUCAUCAUCAUCAUUAACAUAAUCACAGCUGACAUUUACUGAACAUUAGCAAUGUGGUAAGCACUGCAGUAGGAGUUUUCACGUGUCUACUCAUGUAAUCCUCAAUGCAACCUUAAAGAAGACUACAAUGCCAGCAUCUGGGAUAACUACUAGAAUGUUCUCUGCCAUCCACUAAGCAUUGAAUCCCUCCAGACACUGUUACAACAGACAAAAACCUGUACUGGGCUACUGACAACAAAGCUGUGGCAAAUCUCUGGAAAAGCCCAACAUUCGGCUGUGGGAGAAAGAAGAGAAUUAUCCAAAAUAGAGUGAGCAGGAAAGGCUCCAAGGAUGUGAAGAAAACGAGGCCAGAGUGCUCUGGAGGCCAACAGGAAGGUAGUCUCCAGAAUUGUGCAAGUGACGUACUUUCAGGUUUGCUGCCAUUCACAACAGACAACCUACCAGCUUUCAUGGUCUAAAGAGGGCUUAAAUUUAAUUUGCAAAUAUCUUCAGAGAAGAAAUACAGUCUCUACAGUCUAUACUGAGUUAUAAGUGACUGAUACCAGCUCUUCAUUAGAAGGUUGUUCUUUCUUCUAUUUGCCAUGAACUACAGGGGUCAAAAGAAGGGUUAGCACUAUCCUAGCUCCCUGUUAAUUCUUGCAAAUCAGCACUCUUUUAUAACCCUUUGUAACAUCCCAUUUCAAUGCAUAAUAGAAGGUAUGCAGUCUUCCACCUCCUCAUUGGUGGGUGCCAUUUACACACUCCUGGCCAAUCCCCUCAUUCAUGAAUGAUAUUCAUACCUUCCUUAAAGUCAUCAUGCUUAAUGUCUUCUAUAGCAUUGAAUAAACUCUGUACUAUUUCCUUCACAGUGA
ensembl:lncRNA LINC01594 long intergenic non-protein coding RNA 1594